UCCAAAAGUUGUUGGGUCUGGCUGGCAGCCGGACCCAACGCUAUUGGGUCCGGCUGCCAGCAGGACUCAAUGCUAAUGAGU
rnacentral:pre_miRNA from 13 species